AGAGCGGUGGUGGUGGCGGCGGAGGCUUUGGCAGCUCCGGACUGAGUGCAAGAAUCAGCAUGAUUCUUCAGAGGCUCUUCAGGUUCUCUGUCAUUCGGUCAGCCGUCUCAGUCUAUUUACGGAGGAACAUUGGUGUUACAGCAGUGGCAUUUAAUAAGGAACUUGAUCCUAUACAGAAACUCUUUGUGGACAAGAUUAGAGAAUACAAAUCUAAGCGACAGACAUCUGGAGGACCUGUUGAUGCUGGUCCAGAGUAUCAGCAAGAGCUGGAGAAGGAGCUUUUUAAGCUCAAGCAAAUGUUUGGUAAUGCAGACAUGAAUACAUUUCCCGCCUUCAAAUUUGAAGGUACGUCUUGUAAAUCACAGAAUCAUUCUUGUGGGAGAUAAGUGAAGAAUAUUUACACUUACCUGGAUGUUUAGAGAAUUGAAUGACAGUGUUGGCAUGUGAAUUUAUUAGGACCAUGACUGUGCCUGAGAAGCUGCCGGCCAAGUGUUUGCUGUUAGAAUAGGAGCAGUAUAGGUGAUCACAUAACAUAGUGAUUAAAUGGUGGGGAUCUGAAAUCGAACUGCCCGACCUUGAAUCCCGACAGUCACUUUCAGCUGUGUAAUCUUGAGUAAUCAACUGGUGCAUGUUUCCUCAUCUGACAUUUGGGGAGAAUUAUAGUAUCUUCCGCAUAUGUAGUUAAAUGACAUAAUAUAUGCAAAGUCAAUUAAAUAAUGCAUGGCUCAUAGAAAGUGUUGCAUAAAUGUUUAGCUAUAUUUCUAUGUAAAUGUUUACAAACAGUAUUUACUAAAAAAAAUCAGAAGAUUGUUGAGUUAAAUCUUGAGCAUUCUACAUAAUCCAUUUUAUUGCAAUUUGGCUAAGCUUGACCC
rnacentral:sRNA from 1 species